rnacentral:rRNA from 1 species
AUUGAACGCUGGCGGCAUGCCUUACACAUGCAAGUCGAACGGUAACAGGUCUUCGGAUGCUGACGAGUGGCGAACGGGCGAGUAAUACAUCGGAACGUGCCUAGUAGUGGGGGAUAACUACUCGAAAGAGGGGCGAAUACCGCAUGAGAUCUACGGAUGAAAGCAGGGGAUCGCAAGACCUUGUGCUACUGGUGCGGCCGGUGGCGGAUUAGGUGGUUGGUGGGAUAAAAGCUUACCAAGCCGACGAUCUGUAGCUGGACUGAGAGGACGAUAAGCCACACUGGGGAUGAGACACGGCCCAGACUGCUACGGGAGGCAGCAGUGGGGAAUUUUGGACAAUGGGCGCAAGCCUGAUCCAGCAAUGCCGCGUGCAGGAUAAAGGCCUUCGGGUUGUAAACUGCUUUUGUACGGAACGAAAAGCCCUGGGUUAAUACCCUGGGGUCAUGACGGUACCGUAAGAAUAAGCACCGGCUAACUACGUGCCAGCCGCCGCCGUAA